CCCUUGACUCUGGGAUAAGCCUGGGAAACUGGGUCUAAUACUGGAUAUGACUUCUCACCGCAUGGUGGGGGGUGGAAAGAUUUAUUGGUCUUGGAUGGACUCGCGGCCUAUCAGCUUGUUGGUGAGGUAAUGGCUCACCAAGGCGACGACGGGUAGCCGGCCUGAGAGGGUGACCGGCCACACUGGGACUGAGACACGGCCCAGACUCCUACGGGAGGCAGCAGUGGGGAAUAUUGCACAAUGGGCGCAAGCCUGAUGCAGCGACGCCGCGUGAGGGAUGACGGCCUUCGGGUUGUAAACCUCUUUCAGUAGGGAAGAAGCGAAAGUGACGGUACCUGCAGAAGAAGCGCCGGCUAACUACGUGCCAGCAGCCGCGGUAAUACGUAGGGCGCGAGCGUUAUCCGGAAUUAUUGGGCGUAAAGAGCUCGUAGGCGGUUUGUCGCGUCUGCCGUGAAAGUCCGGGGCUUAACCCCGGAUCUGCGGUGGGUACGGGCAGACUAGAGUGCAGUAGGGGAGACUGGAAUUCCUGGUGUAGCGGUGAAAUGCGCAGAUAUCAGGAGGAACACCGAUGGCGAAGGCAGGUCUCUGGGCUGUAACUGACGCUGAGGAGCGAAAGCAUGGGGAGCGAACAGGAUUAGAUACCCUGGUAGUCCAUGCCGUAAACGUUGGGCACUAGGUGUGGGGGACAUUCCACGUUUUCCGCGCCGUAGCUAACGCAUUAAGUGCCCCGCCUGGGGAGUACGGCCGCAAGGCUAAAACUCAAAGGAAUUGACGGGGGCCCGCACAAGCGGCGGAGCAUGCGGAUUAAUUCGAUGCAACGCGAAGAACCUUACCAAGGCUUGACAUGUUCCUGACCGCCGUAGAGAUACGGUUUCCCCUUUGGGGCAGGUUCACAGGUGGUGCAUGGUUGUCGUCAGCUCGUGUCGUGAGAUGUUGGGUUAAGUCCCGCAACGAGCGCAACCCUCGUUCCAUGUUGCCAGCACGUAGUGGUGGGGACUCAUGGGAGACUGCCGGGGUCAACUCCGAAGAAAGGUGGGGACGACGUCAAAUCAUCAUGCCCCUUAUGUCUUGGGCUUCAC
rnacentral:rRNA from 1 species